UACAGAGGCCUCGAGCGUUAGGCGGAAUCACUGGGCUUAAAGCGUGUGUAGGCGGAUGCCUAAGUACCUUGUGAAAUCCCACGGCUCACCCGUGGAACGGCUCGGUAUACUGGGCGUCUUGAGCCACCUAGGGGCUACCGGAACAAAUGGUGGAGCGGUGAAAUGCGUAGAUAUCAGGAAGAACACCCGUGGCUAAGGCGGUUCUCUAGUACGGUACUGACGCUGAGACGCGAAAGCGUGGGGAGCGAACAGG
rnacentral:rRNA from 1 species